rnacentral:rRNA from 1 species
CGAUGAAGCCCAGCUUGCUGGGUGGAUUAGUGGCGAACGGGUGAGUAACACGUGAGUAACCUGCCCUUGACUCUGGGAUAAGCCCGGGAAACUGGGUCUAAUACCGGAUAGGAGCGCCUGUCGCAUGACGGGUGUUGGAAAGAUUUUUCGGUCAUGGAUGGACUCGCGGCCUAUCAGCUUGUUGGUGAGGUAAUGGCUCACCAAGGCGACGACGGGUAGCCGGCCUGAGAGGGUGACCGGCCACACUGGGACUGAGACACGGCCCAGACUCCUACGGGAGGCAGCAGUGGGGAAUAUUGCACAAUGGGCGGAAGCCUGAUGCAGCGACGCCGCGUGAGGGAUGACGGCCUUCGGGUUGUAAACCUCUUUCAGCAGGGAAGAAGCGAAAGUGACGGUACCUGCAGAAGAAGCACCGGCUAACUACGUGCCAGCAGCCGCGGUAAUACGUAGGGUGCGAGCGUUAUCCGGAAUUAUUGGGCGUAAAGAGCUCGUAGGCGGUUUGUCACGUCUGUCGUGAAAGUCCGGGGCUUAACCCCGGAUCUGCGGUGGGUACGGGCAGACUAGAGUGCAGUAGGGGAGACUGGAAUUCCUGGUGUAGCGGUGGAAUGCGCAGAUAUCAGGAGGAACACCGAUGGCGAAGGCAGGUCUCUGGGCUGUAACUGACGCUGAGGAGCGAAAGCAUGGGGAGCGAACAGGAUUAGAUACCCUGGUAGUCCAUGCCGUAAACGUUGGGCACUAGGUGUGGGGACCAUUCCACGGUUUCCGCGCCGCAGCUAACGCAUUAAGUGCCCCGCCUGGGGAGUACGGCCG